CCUUCGCGGGUAUUCGUAACCAGCUCGUUCGGUUCGAUCGUUGGAUCUUAAUAAAAGGCAUCGAGCGAAUACUUAAUAAAUACGUCGGCGUAAAACGCUCGACGAGCGGCGGAGACUCGGCCAGUCGUUCGAUACCUGCUCGCAGGUGCUCGUUCGGCGCGAGGUCGUUUCCCGAUGUCGCCGUCGACCCUACCGACGUUUAGGCGUCCGCGGCGUCCGAGUCGGCCACCCGUCCGACCCGUCUUGAAACACGGACCAAGGAGUCUAACGUACGCGCGAGUUAAUGGGCGGAAAACCCAUAAGCGCAAUAAAAGUAAAAGUCGUCCCAAGACGGCCGAGGUACGAUCCUAGACUACGCGUCUAGGCGCAGUACCGUCCCGUCCCGACCGCACGUCGGUAGGGCGGAGAUUGAGCGCAUACGUUGGGACCCGAAAGAUGGUGAACUAUGCCUGAGCAGAGCGAAGCCAGAGGAAACUCUGGUGGAGG
rnacentral:rRNA from 1 species